ensembl:rRNA 5S_rRNA 5S ribosomal RNA
AGCUCCUGCCAUAGCACCCUGAGGGCGCCUCAGCCAGGAAGCUAAGCAGGGUCGGGACUGCCUGGGGUAUGGGUGGGGGACUGCCUGAGCAGACCGGGGGCUGGAGGCU